CGUCGCCAUCUCUUAUUUGAAUGAGUUUCAAAUCUCAUUUUAUGGCUCGCCAAUCAUUUCAUUUGUUAUUUGUUCGCGGCUUCAGCCCUUUCCAUUUUUUUUUGUGUUACUUCUCAAAAAUUUUGAUCAUCCACAAAAUGCGUAUUUGGUGAAGCAUAUAGGACGCACGGUGGGAAGGAUAAGCGUGCGUGUUAGAGUCCGCCCUGCAGCGCUCUGAGUUCGGAUGGACACGUGUCUCAUCCCGGGACCUGUCAGGGCCUCAAGAAACUGUGCCUGAAGCAAGAUGUCUCUAACGUCCAGACGACAGGCUUCCCAAGUGUCAUACUGAGCUGCUGGACAGAGCAUACACACAUAAUAAACACAUGUUACAACAACCACAACUCAUUCUGCAAAAAAUAUACAUGUUUUAUGUUACUUUAGCAUAUUAAAGUUUUACAAAAUUGAUCUAGGUGUUUUAAGUCAUUUUAAUAUAAUGCAAGUUGAAAUUACUGAAUUGGAUUCAACAUAAAGAUUCAAUGCAGUAACCUUUUUUUUACAAUGUAGUAGUUAUUUGUAGAAAGUAGUGAUUUGAAGCUAAUUCAAAGAAACUGAGUGAUCUGCUAAUAAUCUAAAUGUUGUUUUCAAUUGAAGAUCACCAAUUGCAAGCUCACCAUCUCUGUGUUUUUGUCUCCAGCUGCUGUAGCAGGUUUGUAUGUAGCUGCAGGAGAAGCAGCUGUACUAACACAGAGGCCCCUAUCCACCCAGAGGCACUGAUAACCCUGCGGGAAGAAUAGCUCAGUCUACAUAUUGAUGCGUCCUCAAAUAAAGUCAAGGUGUCACGGUCGUGCAGUGGGUAGCAUGAUUGCCUCACAGCAAGGUCGCUGGUUCAGUUGGCAUUUCUGUGUGGAGUUUGCAUGUUCUAUUAGUGUUCGCGUGGGUUUCCUCCGGGUGCUCCAGUUUCCCCGACAGUCCAAAGACAUGUGUUGUAGGUGAACUGGUGGAGCAGCAAUGGACUCAGCUGAUUACGAAAAGCGAUUAAUGAUUACACGCAGCACCAAACUGAAACAUCUGAGGGGGUGAAUUAACCUGGGCGAGAGGUUUUACAGAGCUACACAGAUUGAUGUUGAGCAUGGCGAAUGGAUAUCCAAGUUGUGUCCCAGAUGACGCAUUAUGUACUCUACUGUCUUGUGUUCAAAUUUUCAAAGGUUAUUUUGCGUGCGUGCAUGCAUUAUGUGUCUUUCCACAGUUUUUGCUUCAUAUUAGGCUUUUUGUAUAAACAAAUU